rfam:Stachybotrys chlorohalonata IBT 40285 unplaced genomic scaffold scaffold1752, whole genome shotgun sequence.
GCUUACUUGGUCUAAUGGUUAGGAUUACUGCCUUCCAAGCAGUAGGUUCGAGUUCAAUUCUCGGAGUAAGCA